GAUGAAGAACGCAGCGAAAUGCGAUAAGUAAUGCGAAUUGCAGAAUUCAGUGAGUCAUCGAAUCUUUGAACGCACAUUGCGCCCUGUGGUAUUCCGCAGGGCAUGCCUGUUCGAGCGUCAUUUCAACCCUCAAGCCUCGCUUGGUGUUGGGCCCUGCCCGCCGCGGCCGGCCCUAAAGAUAGUGGCGGCGCCGCCUGGCCCUCAGCGUAGUACACCUCUCGCUCCAGGGUCCGGCGGCAGCCUGCCAGAACCCCCCAACUCUGUGGUUGACCUCGGAUCAGGUAGGGAUACCCGCUGAACUUAAGCAUAUCAAUAAGCGGAGGA
rnacentral:misc_RNA from 1 species